AAGAUGAGCUUCAGAGUCUGGAGCCCUGAUACCACAAGCUUUCCUGCUUUUGCAAGCACUGGAGUCUGACAUAUUUGCAGUGGAAUGGAAAAGUUUCCUCUGAGCUCUGUAUCACACCUGACCACUCACUCUGUUAGGAGUCUGAAAACAUAGUCAAGUCUUAGAAAGUACCAAUUAUUUUAGUUGUGCCACUGAAUAAUAUACUGGAAAGCAAGAUGCCUGAAGUGCUUCAAAGGCCCAGUGAAGGAACUGGGACCUUCUCAGCAAGGGGAAAGGCAGCUCGAGGACCACGGUCCAUGUGUGGAGUUUAUCUGGCCAUUGGCAUCUCCAGAUGCAUGCCGUUCUGACCAAUAGGAAAAGACUGAAGAGUGAAAGCACUUUAAUAUUGCAGAGCACGUGGAGACAAGUGGAUCAGUUCUCCUGCCUGAGUGUCCUUCACUGAGACUCCUGGGGGGAAGAGUCCAUCCCACAGAUGCUCUUGGUGAGACCAUUUGUUUCCCACAGGGGCAUAGCCCAUCAAAUCAGCACUGCCAGCUUGCUGCAGAAAGGGGGGCCAGGAGUCUGGAGCAAACUAGUCCUGCAGCAGUCCAGAAAAAA